ACCGAACAAAAACCGCUUUGCGUCUUCUCCCCAAAGUUGCCCUAUGAAUUCUCUCCUGUCUAUCUAGGUUGCGGCUGAAGCGACGCAGACCCACGGGCCGCACCGACACCGAUCAGUCGCGAACGAAACAAGAAGGAAACACAGUCUCCGAAAUCAUUAGGGAAAGGUAAGGGAGUGAGUAGAUCGGACGACACAUUUUACCUUCGUUACUGAUUUCGGAGACCCUGUUUCCUCCCUGUUCCCUCCGGCGAAUGACGAUCCUGUUCUUUCAACUGCGGAGGACUCAUUUUAACUCAAAACCACACGAUCAUUUUAGAAACAGAUAUUUGAGAAAACUCUCGACUUUGCAUUUGGUACUGCGUCUUCGUGGUGGUCUUCCAAAUUAAUCCGAACUGUGAGUGAUUGCUGCUGUUUUUUACUGAUUCUUGAUCAAUGAAGCUUGAAGAAUCUGUUUGAAAGUGGAUGUACACCGAUCUUGGUGGAACCUAUAAACAUAGAGUUAUGUUCUUAUCUUUCUGUAUUCGAUUGCUUUAUUUUCUGGAUUUAGUUUUUAUAAUCAGUAUCAGAGCUUGUUGAUUCCUUUUGUAUUUCUCUGUUUCCGGUCUUAAUUUCAUCCAACUAAUGAAUCAGUUUGUUGAUUUUGCCGAAUCGUGAAGAUCAUCUGAAUUCUGGUGAUCGUUUUUCAGUAUUGUUCAACCCGAUCUUACAGCUAUGGUGCUCUUGCCU